rnacentral:rRNA from 1 species
UACGUAGGGUGCAAGCGUUGUCCGGAAUUAUUGGGCGUAAAGAGCUCGUAGGCGGUCUGUCGCGUCGAUCGUGAAAACUUGGGGCUUAACCCUGAGCUUGCGGUCGAUACGGGCAUGACUGGAGUUCGGCAGGGGAGACUGGAAUUCCUGGUGUAGCGGUGAAAUGCGCAGAUAUCAGGAGGAACACCGGUGGCGAAGGCGGGUCUCUGGGCCGAUACUGACGCUGAGGAGCGAAAGCCAGGGGAGCAAACGGG